CAAGUCUGGUGCCAGCAGCCGCGGUAAUUCCAGCUCCAAUAGCGUAUAUUAAAGUUGUUGCAGUUAAAAAGCUCGUAGUUAAUUUUCUGUUAAUUUUUAUAUACAAUACUACGGUAUUUAUAUAAUAUUAACAUGAUUCAUAUUACUUUUUAGUAUAUGAAACUUUACUUUGAGAAAAUUAGAGUGCUUAAAGCAGGCUAUUGCCUUGAAUACUCCAGCAUGGAAUAAUAUUAAGGAUUUUUAUUCUUCUUAUUGGUUCUAGAAUAAAAAUAAUGAUUAAUAGGGACAGUUGGGGGCAUUUGUAUUUAACAGUCAGAGGUGAAAUUCUUAGAUUUGUUAAAGACAAACUACUGCGAAAGCAUUUGCCAAGGAUGUUUUCAUUAAUCAAGAACGAAAGUUAGGGGAUCGAAGACGAUCAGAUACCGUCGUAGUCUUAACCAUAAACUAUGCCAACUAGAGAUUGGAGGUUGUUCCUUACUCCUUC
rnacentral:rRNA from 1 species